UGGGGAAUAUUGCACAAUGGGCACAAGCCUGAUGCAGCCAUGCCGCGUGUAUGAAGAAGGCCUUCGGGUUGUAAAGUACUUUCAGUCGGGAGGAAGGUGGUAAGGUUAAUAACCUUAUCAAUUGACGUUACCGACAGAAGAAGCACCGGCUAACUCCGUGCCAGCAGCCGCGGUAAUACGGAGGGUGCAAGCGUUAAUCGGAAUUACUGGGCGUAAAGCGCACGCAGGCGGUUGAUUGAGUCAGAUGUGAAAUCCCCGGGCUUAACCCGGAAAUUGCAUCUGAUACUGGUCAGCUAGAGUCUUGUAGAGGGGGGUAGAAUUCCAUGUGUGGCGGUGCGAUGCGUAGAGAUGUGGAGGAAUACCGGUGGCGAAGGCGGCCCCCUGGACAAAGACUGACGCUCAGGUGCGAAAGCGUGGGGAGCAAACAGG
rnacentral:rRNA from 1 species